rnacentral:misc_RNA from 1 species
AAACCUGCAAAAGAAUGUUAGCAACUAUCCUCAUAAUGUUCCCUCACGUGUUUACACUGAAUCAAUGUCACUCCCCUCGUGUUUCACACAAUUUAGGCUUUUACUUUCUUAUGUGCUCUCACACUCUUUAUCUUUUUCCACUCUUUAAUUUUUCCUUUUAGCUCUUUAAGGAAUUAACCAAACUCACUCAAAGUAACUAAUUUGUAAUAUUCAACAAAAUUGAAAUUCAAGACAAGACCGAAGAUAUGAAAUAAAGACAAGCAAUAUAAAGACGGACACAAAGAUUGAAUGAUGAAGGAUUCUAUAAUUUAAAGAAACGAAAUAAGACACCAAAUUAUUAGAAAAUGAAACAAACGAAACAAUAAAGAAGUAAAAGCCUCGGUGAAAUUUAACAAUUUAGGAUGUGUAGUGAACCCUAAUUGUGCCACACCAAAUCUACCUCCUUUUAUUAUUAUUAU